UAUACAAUUCCGUAUGCUGUAUGCAAUAAUGCUGUCUAUUAAUAUAAUUGGAGUACAAAUUGCCAUAAAAUCGAUACAUGCAUAUAAACUGUGUCGAAUAAUUGAUAUAAUUUAAAAAUAAUGGGAUCGUAUAUUACAUUCAAUUAAUAAUUAAUUUUAAACGAAAUCUCUAAUAAUUUAAAUAUAUAUAGAAAAUUUCUUUAAACACGAUAUACAUACGUGGAGUUUUGCAUACUUUUAGAAAGAAAGAGAAAUGCAAUGUGAUCAGUUGCCAAGACAACGGUUUAUAACAACAAAACAUUUCUCUAAUUUAACUAGUUAUUUCUAAGUUAAAUAGUUCAAAAUCUUUGAAGAAGAGAAAAAACUAAAACAUAAUGAAAGAGAACAUUAAAUUCAUUGUGACAGAGGUGAACAAAUUGUUGGGACGUAAUUAUAAUGUGAUUUAUUUUAAUUCUCUAAAUUCAGAAGAAUUACUUCAAUUGCAUUGUAGGUAUUGAAGGAGUUGUUGAUUAAAAUACAAUCAAAUCAAAAUAUUGAUGGUAAUGUUAAUAUAAAAAAUGAGACUUCUGAAGAAAUUUCCAUUUAUAUUUUAUCUAUUCUGCGUAUAUUUCAUUAUCAGCCACGAAUAGAUCCUGUGAGCUUUAGGCAAGUUUUUUAUUUCAUUUUAACUACUUUGUUACGAAUUGAUUAUAUUUAUUUUUGUAUAUGGAUAGACAAGGUCUGGUUCGUGGAGAUUCUGAUAUUAUUCAUCCUAUUUUUACCUGGCUUCUAUCUCAUAUAGAUGUGGUUCAAAAAAGAGCUUACUUAUCACGCUUUUUAGUGAAGAUAGAGGUUCCUAGCGAAUAUUUAAGCGAUCCAGAAGUUUUCGCUUUUUAUGAACAAUACAUAACUUUGAUUGAUAGAUUUAAAACAAUGCAUAAGGAAAGAGAAAUAGGAAAGAAGAAUUAUGAGAAUACUAGUGAGCUUACUACUGAUUUAAAAACAAUGGAAAAAGAAAAAGAAGCAGUAAUUAUACGUAUCGAAAAAAUGAGAAUAAAAGCUGAAACUGGAAUGCAUUUAUUGGAUGUUGCCCGAGCUUUGCGAAUAGAAAAAGAUAAAGAACGUGAUUUAAUAUUGCAAGAGGAGCAAGAAAAAGAAAUAAUAUCUAGAUUACAAUCUAACUUACAACGAUUGGAAAGAGAAUUACAAAUCUUAAAAAAAGAUGAAGAUGAAAUUACAGUUCAAACAUUAUUGCAACAUUUAUCUGAAGUAAUUACUGUUCAAACUGUAGUUACGAAUGAAAAAUUACCGACAGAAAUACAUGCAAAGACAAAUCGUAUAAAAGCCUUGAACAUAGUAAAACAGUAUUCGUAUUUGAAUCCAGAUCAAAUAACAGGUCUACGAAAUAAUUUGGAUAGUAUAGCCAAAGAAAUUCAGAAUUUAAUAGAAUUAAAGAUUACAAAAAAUAAUAUUGAUAAAAUAGAACCAUUUCGACAACAAGCAGCUGCAGUUGCAAAUAUAAAAAGAAAUGUUCUUGAAAAAUUGGAAAAGACAGCGAAUUCUUUGCAAGAAUUGCAGACAAAAUUAGAAGAAAAAUGCGAAUUAUCAAAAUUGAUAGUAGAAGAUAUUCCUAAAGGGGAAGAUUUCAAAAAAUAUAUAAAUCGUUUAAAAACUAGGGGAACACUUUAUAAACAUUGUAAAUCUGAAUUGACAUGGUUUAAUGCGGAGAACAGUAUAUUAUAUCGAACAGCCGCCAUCUUAGAAAAUCAGUAUAAUCAAUGCAACCGGGCGAAAGAAAAAUUGGAAACGGUUAAGAAAAAUACUCCAAAUAAUUUCACAGAAGAGAAUGCAUCUUCGAUGAAUCUUCAAUUAUGUCGAGAUAUAUCCGCCUUUAAAGCAAAAUUAAUUCCAUUGAUAAAUGAAGUGCAGACAUUGAGAGAAAAAUAUCAUGAAUUUGAACAACAACAAGAGAAAACGAAAAAAGUGCAAGACCAAAUAAAAUCGAAUAUGAAUAUCUUAAUAAAUAAUUUACAAUCUGAAUUGGAAAGUAGAAAAACAAAAUUAAAAAAGGAUAUUGAAGAAAAAGAAGAAUUACUAAAACUCAUAGCUAAAAUGAAGAUUAUAGAAGAAAGAAUAAAACGGGAUAUAAAAGAUCCUACAAUUUCUAAUCCUGGUAAAAAGAUAAGAGAAGAAUUAAAUUUUAUUAUUCAAGCAGAAGAAGCAAAGAUAAAAAAUUUAAUAAUGGAAAAAGAACAUAUAAAAGAAAUUAAUUUAGUAAAUGAAAAACAAACACAGAUGUGGAAUAAUAUAUUAUCAGUAUUUAAAUAUAAAAUUAAAUACGCUGAGGAAAGUAAAGUAUCAAAUGGAAUUGUCGUACGACGAGGAGGAGCAGAAACUUUAAUUUUACAAUAAUAUUUAUUAUAUAUACAACAAAGGUGUGAAACAACUGGGCCAAACCAAUAAUGCAUCUCCUAUACAACUGAAUAUUAACCCUGUCAAUAUUCGCCUCGAAAAGAUUUAAAUAUAAUAUUUGAAGAAUAAUAGAAAUAAUUAAUAUUGUCAAUUAUAAAAUAAAAGUGUGACGUAAAAGGAUUAAUGCAUGCAAAAUAUUUUUGCACUUACUCCUGCGAUAAAUUAAUUCCAUGUAGCAGAACAAAAACGAUAAGACUUAUAAUUGGUAAACAUUUGAAACAUGCCGUCAGUAGAGACGG